rnacentral:rRNA from 1 species
UUCGUAGGCGGUAAUUUAAGUCAGAUGUGAAAGGCGCAGGCUCAACCUGUGUAAGCAUUUGAAACUGGAUUACUUGAGUUAAGGAGAGGAAAGUGGAAUUCCUAGUGUAGCGGUGAAAUGCGUAGAUAUUAGGAGGAAUACCAGUGGCGAAGGCGACUUUCUGGACUUAUACUGACGCUGAGGAACGAAAGCGUGGGGAGCAAACAG